rfam:Triticum urartu cultivar G1812 contig637639, whole genome shotgun sequence.
CUCUUUGAAGGAGAAUUAACCUCCUAUGUGCUCAAAGGGCUGGACAUCGAGUACAACCCGGUGAUCUCAGUCCUGGCUGCACGUAUUGAGCCAGUGACCAUCCAGGAGCUCUACAAUCAGUUGCUGAGCUUUGAAG